CGUAGUAACACUUUAAAGUCGGCGCCUACAACUUUAAAAUCCGACGUUUGGACACAUUUUGGAUUCAGAUGUAAAACCGGAACAGAGGAAGUCGAUAGAAGUCAUGUCGUGUGUAAGCUUUGCGAGUCAGUAUUAAAAUACCGCAACAAUACGACGAACCUACGCAACCAUUUGAGCCGACACCACGCAGAAGUUUUGCAACCUGCGGCUAAAGCUAAACCUGUGGAUUGCAAACAAAUGCAGCUAGACAAAUCCCGUGUGUGCAAACUACAGUCAAGCUCUGUGCGCGCACAGAAGAUAACAGAGUCUGUGGCGAUCUUCAUCUGUAAGGACCUAGGCCCGUACAGUGUCGUGGAAAACGAGGGCUUUAAGAAGAUGGUACACACACUGGAACCACGCUACGCUACGCUACGCUACGCCAUACCAACACGAAAACCUAUGACAGAAGUCGCUGUUCCAAAGCUGUACACGGAGGUGAAGGAAGCCGUCGUCGAGUCGUUAAAGUCAGCAGAGAGAGUAGCACUUACUUGCGAUGGUUGGACCUCCAGAGCGACGGACCCAUAUGUAACUAUCACUUCUCAUUUCAUUUCUAAUGAGUGGGAAUUAGAGUCAAAUGUUCUGCAGACCAGAGCUCUGCACGCAAGUCACACAGGGAGCAAUAUAGCGGACUUGUUGACAGAAGCAAUACAUGAAUGGGGGUUAACGGAGAACGACCCGGCAAUCGUCACUGACAAUGCUGCCAACAUGCUACGUGCUGUAAGUCAAAUUGAGCUUUUGCAUGUUGGCUGCUUUGCCCACACCCUCAAUUUAGCCUCGCAGGCUGCUGUUAAAAUUCCCGCUGUCGCACGGCUUCUCGGCAGAGUGAGGCGCAUCUCCAGUUUCUUUCACCGAAGCACAUUAGCCAGUCAUGUACUGAAGAAGAAACAAAAGUUGCUGGACCUCCCUCAGCACAAAUAAUGACCGAUGUAGUGACGCGUUGGAACAGCGCGCUGGACAUACUGGAAAGAUUUCUGGAGCAGCAACCGGCUGUCUCCGCUGCACUACUCGCCCCUGAAGUACGAAAACUUGAAAAAGAUCUGUGCACUCUUAUGGAGGCAGACAUAACAGCAGCAGAGGAUGUUGUACAGGCUCUGAAGCCAAUGAAGACAGCCACCGAAGUGAUGUCUAAAGAAGGUACCCCGACUUUCUCUGUCAUCGCACCCCUUCAAGCAAGACUCCUGCAGGAGAUGCAACCAGCCCCAAAUGACUCUGUGAUGGUGAGGGAGAUGAAGUCUGCUGUGCACAGUGAUCUCCAGAGAAGAUAUGUGGACCUGAAGGAAAACUUGCCAUAGCCUCAGCUUUGGACCCCCGCUUUAAGGCCCUGCCUUUUCUGUCUGAUGAGGACCGUGAGGAGACCUUCACUCGUCUAAUCACUGAGGCAUCCAGAACUGAGGAAAACUAUAGUGGGCCAGUUAAUGCAGGAGACCAUGAGGCAGCUGAGGUACUGGAGCAGCAGGUAGAACAAGAUGAUGACCCUGCCCCCCCAUCAAAGAAACCAAGGGACUCUUUUGCUCUAGCUGAUCUUCUGGGGAAAACAUAUACUCCAGUAGCAGUGCCCAGAACCACAAAUGACAAGGCAUUAGAUGAGGUGACAAGGUACAAAGAGGUAAAACCAGUGCCGCUCUCCACCAAUCCACUCAACUGGUGGAAGGAGCAUGAGGGGGAAUACCCCCUUUUGUCUUGGCAAGCUAAACGAUACCUCUGUAUCCCGGCAACUAGUGUUCCUGCUGAGAGGGUCUUCUCAACAGUUGGCGAUAUUGUCACAGCCCAGAGAAGUACACUAAAGGCAGAACAUGUAGACCAGCUGCUUUUCUAGUACGUAACUACAAAUGAAGGGGCUUGGUUCAGAUGUUUUAUUGUUCAAAUGCCCGUUAAGUGAUACCAAGGCAAGGUCUGUUUUUAUUUUCAUCAUGAAAAUAAGUUAAAAGUUUCACUGGUCUUUUAUUAUAUCCAGCAGUCCAAUGUGACUUAUCAAAAACUAUGGCACUUUCUAAGCCUUAUAGUUGCACUAUUUUAAAAAUAAGCACAUUGUGUGCCUUUGUUAACAUUUCAACUCAAACUAAGAGGAAAGAGUAUUUUUAGUUUACAUACACUUUACUUUUUCCAUGUAAUUACAGCACAGGUAUGUAUAUUGCUUUUGUGCUGCAAGUUCAGCUCAGGUACAAUACUGUACUAUUAAUGUUUUAUUUUCUAUUCAU